GGAAGAGUUGCUCUGAAUGAGGGGGUUAUACGCUCUGCUUAGCUUCAGCCAUGUUGGCCUCACUAAAAGUUAAUCCAUAGUUAUUUAAGUGGAAAUUUUCAGAAAAUCCAUUUCGGAGCAAAUGUUAUGUGAGAGUCUAAAUGAGCCACUGCCCUCUGUUUGAUUGAAUAUCAGGUGCCCUGAUCAUAUUUACCAGUGGGUCAGAUUCCUCUAAGAUGUAACAGCUGUGUAAAGGAACACAGGCUACAACCUUUGCCAGAAAGACUGUCGCCAAAGUCAUCUGACCAUCAGAUCUGGAGGUGUGAGACAGAAGACAAAUGUGAGGACAACCGGGAACAGGAGGAAUAAGCUACUGAAGUAAGAAGAUACCAGUCCUCGUCCCCUGACACACACAGAAAGUCACUGAUGGCAUUCAGAUACAAACAGAGCAAAGGGAUCAAUGGUCCACGGACCCUGCUCUUUCCCGGGGUGCUAUUCCAGUGGCCAGAGGAACCUCCCAUCACUUCAGACUUUUGUUUUAUUUGUUGUUGUCGUUAUUUUUGGUCUUCUAUCAUUGACUCAUAGCUCUCUCACACAUUUUAAUGUAUUCGCUGCAUCAGACCCAGAAAAACAUUUGCCUGGUGUGUGAAAGAGCCUCUGAUUACAGAAUGAACUUUGUCUCUCCAUAAUUUGAAGAAGUUAAGGAAGGUCCCCACCCAAAUGUUAUGUCCUAUUUUGAUGCUCAAAAUCUUAGUAAAAUCACAGUGCAAAGGAAAGAGCACUGACUUUGGCAUCACACAGAUGAAACUUGGCUCUGCUAUUCUCUUGUAUUAUUGUGGGUAUGGCAUCUCUGACAUGAGGAUAAUAAUCAUUCUUCAUAAGGCUGUCUUAAUGAGUAAAGAUAACACAUAUAAAGUCCUUGGCACAGUGCCUGACACACCGUAGAUAACAUUAUAAUAAUAACAAUAAUUAUUAUUACCUUUAUUGCUAAGCAUUGCUGUUUCCCUUGGUUCUCUCUUAAAAUGCCACUGUUGGCCGGGUGCGGUGGCUCACACCUG
rnacentral:lncRNA from 10 species